rnacentral:misc_RNA from 1 species
UUGACCAUUGCUAUUUGCUAGCACAAAUCCAUCCUAAUCUUUUCACUGUAGGAUGGAAAAUGUCGCUUUGCGGUUAGAAUAUACAAGCCCACAACUUGGAUUAAGGGUUUAGUUGAUGGCCAGACUAACCCAACUUAAAAGGCUAAAACCCUUCCCCAGGCCUAGGCAAAAUCAACAUAUCCGAAUCCCAGGAUGGCCAUUUAACGAUCAACUGUAGCAGCCGGAUAGAUUGAAGCACCAACCUGAUUAGGAAAUAUAGGUUCAGGAAUAGGAUAAGCCUGAUUAUGAAAAAUAAAAGAGGUCCAGGUAUCGGGUAAGUCCUUAUAAGAUGAUGCAUUGCUUGCUUCUUUGAGCCUGGCACACACCUGCCACGUUACAUUGAAAAGGCAAACCAUAUUCUCUCUGUAACUACAUCAGAAAAAGAAGAGGAUUUUUUUGCCAAUGAACCAUUGAUUUUUUAUUUUUUGGCCUUUUGCUAUUUGCACAUUAG